rnacentral:rRNA from 1 species
GAUGAACGCUAGCGGCAGGCCUAACACAUGCAAGUCGAGGGGUAGCAGGAUUAAGCUUGCUUAAUUGCUGACGACCGGCGCACGGGUGCGUAACGCGUAUGCAACCUACCUUAUACUGGGGUAUAGCCCGGAGAAAUUCGGAUUAAUCCCCCAUAGUACUAAUGAAUCGCAUGGUUUAUUAGUUAACGCAUUGCGGUAUAAGAUGGGCAUGCGUCCUAUUAGCUAGAUGGUGAGGUAACGGCUCACCAUGGCUACGAUAGGUAGGGGGCCUGAGAGGGUGGGCCCCCACACUGAUACUGAGACACGGACCAGACUCCUACGGGAGGCAGCAGUGAGGAAUAUUGGUCAAUGGGCGCAAGCCUGAACCAGCCAUGCCGCGUGCAGGAAGAAUGCCCUAUGGGUUGUAAACUGCUUUUAUUUGGGAAUAAACCUCUUUACGUGUAGAGAGCUGAAGGUACCAAAUGAAUAAGCACCGGCUAACUCCGUGCCAGCAGCCGCCGUAA